GUAAAAGGAGCGUCACUGCCACAUGGAGAUCACGUGAUGGUGUGCGUGGUGGUUGAUUAGUCUGACCGGGUGGUGAGGAGAUUCGGUCCACUCUAUCACUCACCACUUAAGAGCAGCUCCACACAUCCAUUUCCCCUGUUGUCUCAAGCGAUUCCAAGGUACGAUGCAAGGAGCAAUUCAUGCUAUUCGAUCCAAUGGAAAUGGUCUAAAACAUGCUGUGCUACAGCAUCUUCGAGUCGUAAGUCCAGUUGCACGGCCCACAGUUUUUCGACGUUUUGAGUCUGCUUCGCCUGCUCGUUUGGAAGAGCAUGGAUUUGAAAGCAUCACAGUUUCAGACAUUCUGAAAGCUAAAGGCAAAGGUGCUGAUGGAUCCUGGCUGUGGUGCACUACAGAUGACUCUGUUUAUGAGGCUGUGAAAUCUAUGACUCAGCACAAUGUAGGAGCUUUGGUGGUUGUAAAACCUGGAAAAGAAAAAUCAAUUGCUGGCAUUAUUACCGAGAGAGAUUAUCUCAGGAAAAUCAU
rnacentral:misc_RNA from 1 species